rnacentral:rRNA from 1 species
GACGAACGCUGGCGGCGUGCCUAAUACAUGCAAGUCGAACGCUUUUCUUUCACCGGAGCUUGCUCCACCGAAAGAAAAAGAGUGGCGAACGGGUGAGUAACACGUGGGUAACCUGCCCAUCAGAAGGGGAUAACACUUGGAAACAGGUGCUAAUACCGUAUAACACUAUUUUCCGCAUGGAAGAAAGUUGAAAGGCGCUUUUGCGUCACUGAUGGAUGGACCCGCGGUGCAUUAGCUAGUUGGUGAGGUAACGGCUCACCAAGGCAACGAUGCAUAGCCGACCUGAGAGGGUGAUCGGCCACACUGGGACUGAGACACGGCCCAGACUCCUACGGGAGGGAGCAGUAGGGAAUCUUCGGCAAUGGACGAAAGUCUGACCGAGCAACGCCGCGUGAGUGAAGAAGGUUUUCGGAUCGUAAAACUCUGUUGUUAGAGAAGAACAAGGAUGAGAGUAAAACGUUCAUCCCUUGACGGUAUCUAACCAGAAAGCCACGGCUAACUACGUGCCAGCAGCCGCGGUAA